AACAAGCCAGGUUUUGUGUUGCUGAACAUCAAUUCGAAUUUCAUCUCCGACGAAGGGGUCGACGAGGUGAAGGAGAUCCUGAAGGGAGGCAAGAACUCGCUGGAGGUGCUUGGCCCGCUGGAUGAGAACGACCCCGAGGGGGACCCUGAAGAUGACGAGGAAGAGGAGGAUGACGAUGAGGAGGAGAGGGACGGGGACGAUAAUGGCGAUGGCCUGGGCUCGAAGCUGCAGGGCCUGAAGGUGGAGGAGGAGGACUAGUCGUGUCUAGGGUUGUGGCAAGAUUAGCUCCUGUCUUUUGCUCCGGUUAGCUUCUGAAAUGUUCACCGUACGGGUUAAAAAUUUUCACAUGAAGAGAACUCACUGUGGCUCAAUUGUUUUGAACCGGGUCAAGCACAAGCAGCCAGUUGGGCGGUUUAUCUGUACUUCUGUACUAACUUCCGUUGAACAUUUUUUUCUUCAUGUUUUUAACACAAUCGCUGAGAUAUUUUCGGAACCUGCACUAUGCCGUGAUGUGUUAUCCGUUGG
rnacentral:lncRNA from 1 species